UCAUAAGGACAAGGCGUGAUGAGGAGCGAAAUUAAAGUAGCGAAGGCUGCGACGUCACACUGCCGAGAAAAGCUUCUAGCCAGAGACGGUGCACCCGUACCGCAAACCGACACAGGUAGUCGAGGAGAGUAUCCUCAGGUGAGCGAGAGAACUCUCGUUAAGGAACUCGGCAAAAUGGCCCCGUAACUUCGGGAGAAGGGGCGCUGGUCGCAAGAUCAGCCGCAGUGAAAAGGCCCAAGCAACUGUUUAUCAAAAACACAGGCAUCUGCAAAAUCGUAAGAUGAAGUAUAGGUGCUGACACCUGCCCGGUGCUGGAAGGUUAAGAGGAGAGCUUAGCGCAAGCGAAGGUUUGAAUUGAAGCCCCAGUAAACGGCGGCCGUAACUAUAACGGUCCUAAGGUAGCGAAAUUCCUUGUCGGGUAAGUUCCGACCUGCACGAAAGGUGUAAUGAUUUGGGCACUGUCUCAACGAGAGACUCGGUGAAAUUAUAAUACCCGUGAAGAUGCGGGUUACCCGCGACAGGACGGAAAGACCCCAUGGAGCUUUAC
rnacentral:rRNA from 1 species